GCAACAACCAGGAGUGACAUGUCGGGACAGGAUUGGUUGAAAAGGGCACUGCGAGGAUAUCGCAGGGAGUGGCAAAACCUGAGGGCAAAGACUGCAUCUGUAUAAUUCCUCAACAAAGCUGGGACUUCAGAACUUCAGAACGCUGCUCAGCUCUGUCUUAUGCUGGUGCCGGGAAUUGAAAAUGGAACCUUGGUGCCUCAGAAUUACAUGUCAACAGGGGUUUGAACCCACACCUUUCCCACCACCGGAGAUUUGAAUCUUCAGCCUUGCUUUGCUCUUAAUAAAUGCACUUAGAUGUAUAUUCGGCAUGCUAAACUAGUGAAGUUUAAUAGUUUUGAAUGGAAGUAAACAGGGAUUAAACAAACCAAAAGAAAAAAAAAUCUGUUAAGAAGUCCAGAUGGUUAUUAAAAGGAGUAAUCCUGGUGUUUCUAAAUGUCAGUUUUUUCAUCUUAAUUAUUAAUUGCUGAAGUAAAUAUAGUAGUCUCAUACGUUCUCACAUUGUAUUGAUUUCUUCAUCACCUGUGGACUUAAAACAUACAUUGUGGUCCAGAGGUGGCACAGUGGAUAAGGCAUUGGGUUCUCAACCAUGAGGUCCCAAGUUCAACCCCUGGUAGCAUAUGUACCAAGGUGAUGUCUGGUUCUUUCUCUCUCUCCUCCUA